GAAUUUCCACCAUGGACCCACAAGCAGUUGUUGGUGGCAUAUAUAAUGAGUGCUGGGUGUUAAGGAAGCAAUGGUGAAGGAGAGACACCCUCCCGACCCUCAUGGUGCUUGCAGCCUAGUGGAGCUAUGAAAAGAUAGGCAAGUGAGUCCUAUGAUUGGAGAAGUAAUGAGAAGUAAUGAGAAGCGUCUUCUAAGCAUAGGGGUAAAGACUGCAAAGACCCUGAAGGGAGAAAGUAAUGGCCAUUCUGAGAACUGAAAGUUUGCACAGUGCACAGAGGGCAUGAAGAA
rnacentral:lncRNA from 10 species